rnacentral:rRNA from 1 species
UACGUAGGGGGCAAGCGUUGUCCGGAUUUAUUGGGCGUAAAGAGCGUGUAGGCGGCCCGAUAAGUCCGCUGUGAAAGUCAAGGGCUCAACCCUUGAAUGCCGGCGGAUACUGUCGGGCUAGAGUCCGGAAGAGGCAAGUGGAAUUCUCGGUGUAGCGGUGAAAUGCGCAGAUAUCGGGAGGAACACCGGUGGCGAAGGCGGCAUUCUGGACCAAUACUGACGCUGAGGAGCGAAAGCCAGGGGAGCAAACGGG